CCUCCAUUUUGGGUUUAUAAGGGAUUGAGCUGUUUGCUUUCGUAAUUUUGUCAGUGAAGUCAAAAGACUGUGAACAUGGCUGUCCACUGGUAUAGAUCCUGUGGCUCUCCUAUCUGGUAUUUAGAUAUGUGCAACUAAAUCAGUGCAAAUCUCCUAGCAGCCAUGCAAUUCAAUGUAUAAAAGAAAUGGAGCUGCAGAAAAGGAACUCAAAAGGCUGGUUGGGACGUUUAAGAAAACAAUGGCUGCACUGGUGAUUGAAGCUUAUUCAGGCUUGGUCCCUAUCCUUGACGCUGUCCUGCAAAGGAACUAUUCCUUUUAGUAGGGUUUCAGAAAAAGACCUGCAUUGUUUUAACAUGUAUAUUCCUUUAAUAGACUGGACCCUGGUUUAGAUAAAGCCCUGCCCUUCAGGUGCUUCAGAUGUAGCCAAAAAUGCUGCACCCUAAUGAGGCAAUAAACCUGUUCCAGAGGCAAAUCAACCUUUUAAGAUGGAUUCCUCAACUUGCACACCAUAGUGCUUUUUCUGCUUGGGCAUCUUUUUGUGUUACAGGUCAGAAUUGCUGUGCCACAGAAGAUCUUUACCAUUGGAAGGUGAUUAUUCUUUUACAUAUUCCACAAUAAUCAUUCUUAUUAGGAGGCUUUUCUGCCUGUGCUUGCAGGUGAGUGUUCUACCCUGUUACAGGUACCAGCAAAACCAGACUGAUUUAAAUACUUCCAAGUAUCUUUCAGCCUUUUCUUUGUUUCAUAGGAUGGCAUUUGCUUUGAAAAUAUUUUUUGGACUGCUGGAGCUUGUGAUUUGUGUGUAAGUAGAGGAAUAGAUAUGCAUGGAUAUGGAAAGAUCAGCAUUAAAUCUUUGUUUUUACAGGUUUUCCUAGUUUGUUUUACUUCAGCCUUGCCAUGUUUGCCAGAGAUCAGAAAAGUGUGAUCCUAUAUCUUAUGGUAUGUAUGAGUGGAUCGAUGAUGGUGCUUUGUUUUACAGAUUGCACCCUGGUGCUGGAAAGUGCAGCAGCAGAAAUAAUCCUGCACUGCUGGCAUUUGUGAUCAGUGUGUGAGUAAAGGAAUAGAGGUACAUGGAUAAAGAGCUUUAUUUAUUCCAAAGGUCUUUGUUUUGCAGGUUGAACAGAGUGUAGAAGGUCUAGUAUCAGAUGCAUAUAACAUUGGACUGCGGAAGCAUACCAUCAGAAUGUGAGUAAAGAAAUAGCUGUGCAUAAAUAAUGAGAAAUUAUUCAGCAGGCCAUCUUUUGUUUUUACAGAUUUUUCUGGUUUGCCAAACAUCUGACCCCUGUGGAUUUCAGGUUCAGCAGAUUAUAUGGGAUCCUUUCUUUUGGUAGGUAUGAGAGGAUGGAGAAAUGUUUUAUGAUGUUACAAUUCAGCACAGGCAUCUUUGUCUUACAGGCUGGAUCCAGUAUAGGUCUAGUACCAGAUGAAGAUAAUCAUGGACAACUAGAGCUUUUGAUUGGUAUGUGAGUAGAUCAAUUCAUGUGCAUGCAUUAGGAGAGAAAUUCUUCAACCCUGGCAUAUAUUUAACCUUGGCAGGUUACGAGGCAUCCUCUUUCUUUGGCUAAGUGUAUGGACAAAUUAUGUAUUUUCUUUUUGUAACUUACAAUUUUUAUUAAGAAAUUUGGGGGGUACAGAAAGGAAGAGGGGAGGGGGUUAGCAAUUUCACUUCCACAGGUGGACAGAGCAUAGUAAAACAUGUUGUAUCCUUGAUUAUACAUUUGCCGUCUGUUACAGUCAUGUAUUGGAGUGAAAGGAAAAGGAGAAAAAGAGGAAGAGGACACUGAAUGGGAAAUAUAUGGGUGAAAAAGGGGGGAGGUACUCAAGUUUAAGUUUGUGUUGGCUGUGUGAGUAGGUCCCAGGGUGACCAUAUUUUUACACACAGUGGAGUUCUAUUUUGUAGCCGGGCUAGAUUGUAUUCAAAUUGUUUGAUGUAAUUGAUUUUUUGUUUUACUUCUGAGAGUGAGGGGAUAGCGAUUGUCUUCCAUUUGGCUGCAAUGGAAAUGUGGGCCACCGAGAGUAUCUGGUUGACCCGUUUCUGUGUAUGUUUUGAUAGUUGUUUGUAUGGCUUACCUAGGAGUAGGGUGGUAAUGUCUUUUUCUAGAGGUGCAAGCGUGAUCUGGCGUAGUAGUGCCAGGACUUUGUCCCUUGAUACAACCAUACUGGGACAAUGCCAGAAGAUGUGAGGUAAGUCUCCGGGUUGCCCGCAUUCCCUCCAGCAAUAGGGAAUAGUGCAUGGAGUUUGACUGGCGUAUGGUACCAAAACAUGACUAUUUUAUAAAUGUUUUCUUGUUGCUUUACACAUGUAAUGCCUCGUUUCAUAUUGUCCCAUAUGGAUUCCCAUUCAGUUUCCUCAAGUUCUCUGCCUAUGCAAGUCUCCCAUUUGUGCAUAUAGUGGUGUUUGUAGUUCUCCUCUGUGGAAGGAUUGACCAACAUUUUGUAAAUAGCGGAGAACAGGCCUCUUUGAGGGAGGCCACGGACCGCCAAGCGUUCAAAAGGUAAUUAUGUAUAUUCUUAAUCCUGGGGAUUUACUUGUUUUUACAGAUAUUCUUGUUUUGGCUAAUUUCUGGCUGCUGUGGCAUUUCAACAUUUGGCAAAUUAUAUGGGAUGUGCUUCUUUAUGUAGGUAAAAGUUGACGGACAAAUUAAUUAUGAUGAUGUUACACUUCAGCAUGGGCAAAUUGGUUUUAUAUCUAGCAUAAAAGGCCUAGUAGGGGAUGCAGAUAACCUUGGACUGACUAAGCCUAUGACUUGUACUGUAUGUGAGUUGAAGAAUAAAUGUGCAUGGAUAAGGAUGCAUUUAGGAUUCAGGGAACAUUUCAAUACUUCUGCCUUUGCAUUUUAUGCAGAAUCCUAUGUCUUUUGGGAGGUGUAACAGUAUGGAGAAAUUAUGGCAUUAUUCUUCAGCACCUUUGUUUUAUAGUUUGGGCCCUGGUGCAACAAAGUCCAGCAGCAGAUCUUGGACUCCUGAAGUUUAUGAUCAUCCUUUUAGUAAAGGAAUAUGUUUCUAUGGAUAAGCAAGAGUUAUGCCUUAGCUUAAAAAAUCUUUUUGUAUUUAGUUUCUUCUAGCUGCUGUGGAAUUUAAACGUUGGCAAAUUACAUGUGCUUCUAUUUCAUUUGGUAAGUAUGAGUGGAUGGAAAAGUUAAUUAUGAUUGUAUUUAGUACAUCUUUUUUUCACAAUUUGGAUCCAGUACACAAAGUUGUGCAACAAAUGCAGAUAACCAUUGUCUGCUGGACCUUGUGAUUUGUAUUUGAGUAAAGGUAUAGAUGUGCAUGCAUAAGAAAGAUUUUUCAGGCUGUGGAUCUUUUGCCUUUGUUUUCCUAGGUGCAGUAUCUUAUUUCUUUUUGAAAGUAUGAGAGGAAAGGACAAAUUAUGAUUCUGGCAAUCUUUAACCCUGGCAUCUUUGUUUUACAGAUUGGACCCUGGAGUUGAAAAAGUGAAACAACAAAAAUAAUCUUAAACUACUGGAGUUUGUGAUCAAUGUGUGAGUAAAGGAAUAGGUGUACAUGGAUAGAGUUUAUUCCAGACAUCUUUGUUUUGCAGGUUGGACCAAGUUUAGAAGGUCAGAUGUAGAUAACCUAGGAUUACUGAAGCAUGCCAUCAGAAUGUGAGUAAUGGAAUAGCUGUGCAUGAAUUUUUUGUUUUUACAGAUUUUCCUGGUUUGCAAAACAUCUGGCCCCUGUGGAUUUCAGGCUUAGCAGAAUAUGUUGCAUCCUCCUUAUUUUGGUAGGUUUUGAGAGGAUGGAGAAAUGUUUUAUAAUAAUCUUCAGCACAGAAACCUUAGUCUUACAGGUUGGAUCCAUUAUAGGUCUAGUAGCAGAUGCAGAUAAUCAUGGACUUCUGGAGCUUGUGAUUGGUAUGUGAGUAGAUUAAUUCAUGUGUAUGCAUUAGGAGAGAAAUUCUUCAACAGACGUACAGAUUAUACAGAUGUUCAUAGUUUGGCAAAUGUCGAGCUGCUGUGGAGUUUCAACCUUGUUAGAUUACUUGGAAUCUUUCAUUUUGGUAGGUAUAAAUGGAUGGACUAAUUAUAUAAUGUAUUUGUUUUUACAGGUUUUCCUGGUUUGGCGAUCGCCUGCUUGUUGUGAUACUUCAGCCUUGGCAGGUUACAUUGGGAUCCUAUGUCUUUUGGAAGGUAAGAAUGAAUAGAGUAAUUAUGGUGUUAAUAUACUUCAGCCUGGGCACCUUUGUUUUACAGGUUGGACCGCUGGACAUUUGGACCGCUGGACCCUGAUAUGUAUGUUGAAUCCAGUAUAGAAGGUCCAGUAGCAGAUGCCCUUGGACUGAUGGAGCUUGUGAGUAGAUUCAUUCAUGUGCAUACACAAGAGAUUCCAGGUUUUCCAGGUUUUGUGUGUGUGCUUUGGAGUUUUAGCAUUGGCAGAUUACGUUCUUUUGGGUAGGUAUGAGCAUAUGGAGAAAUUAAUUAUGGUGUUAUUUUUCAGAUGAGCAUCUUUGUUUUACAGAUUGGGCCCUCAUGUUGGAAAGUGUAACAGAAGCAAUCUUGGACUGCUGGAGUUUUUGAUCAAUGUGUGAGUAAAGCAAUAGAUGGACAUGGAUAAAGAGUUUAUUCAAGAUGUCUGUGUGUUGCAGGUUGGACCAAGUGUAGAAGGUCAGAUGCAGAUAACCUAGGAUUGUUGAAGCACAUCAUUAUAAUGUGAGUAAAGGAAUAUUUGUGCCUAAAUAAUGAGAAAUUAUUCAGCAGGCCAUCUUUGUUUUUACAGAUUUUCCUGGUUUCCAAACAUCUGGCCCCUGUGGAUAUCAGGUUUAGCAGAUUGUGAGAUCCUCUUUAUUUUGGUAGGUAUGAGAGGAUGGAGAAAUGUUUUAUGAUGUUACAAUUCAGCACAGGCAUCUUUGUCUUACAGGUUGGAUCCAGUAUAGGUGCAGUACCAGAUGCAGAUAAUCAUAGACUUCUGGAGAUUGUGGUUGGUAUGUGAGUAGAUGAAUUCAUGUGCAUGUAUUAGGAGAUACAUUCUUCAACCCUGGCAUAUCUUUGUUUAUACAGAUGUUCAUGGUUUGGCAAACAUCUGGCUGCUGUGUAAUUUGAACCUUUGCAGGUAACGUGUCAUCCUCUUUCUUAGGUAGAUAUAAAUGGAUGGACUAAUUAUGUCAUUUAUUUGUUUUUACAGGUAUGGCGAUCCCCUGGUUGCUGUGAUACUUCAGCCUUGGCAGGUCACAUUGGGAUCCUAUUUCUUUUGGAAGGUAAGAAUGAAUAGAGUAAUUAUGGUGUUGACAUACUUCAGUGUGGGCAUCUUUGCUUUACAGGUUGGAUCUAACAUAGAAAGCCUAGCAGCAAAUGUAGAUACCUUUGGACUGCUGCACCCUGAUAUGUAUGUGAGUAAAGGUAUAGAUGUACAUGGAUAAGUAGAGAAUUGUCAGCCCUGGCAUAUUUUGUUUUUAGAGAUUUUUCUAGUUUGUGAAACAUCUGGCUGCAGUUCAAUUUCAGCCUUAGAAGAUUACAUGGGAUUCUCUUUCUUGGGUAGGUAUGAGUGGAUGGAGAAAAUUAUAAUAGAAUUUUUUAAUCCUGGGUAUUUAUUUUUACAGGAUUUCCUGCUUUUGUAAACAUCGGACUGCUGUUGAGUUUCAACCUUGGCAGAAUAUAUGGGAUCCUAUUAGAUUGAGCCCUCAUAUUAGAAAGUGUAACAGAAGUAACCUUGGACUGCUAUAGUUUGCGAUCAAUGUGUGAGUAAAGGAAUAGAUGGACAUGGAUAAAGAGUUUAUUACAGACAUCUUUGUUUUACAGGUUGGACUAAGUGUCACAUGCAGAUAACCUAGGAUUACUGAAGCAUGCCAUCAGAAUGUGAGUAAAUGAAUAUUUGUGCAUAAAUAAUGAUAAAUUAUUCAGCAGGCCAUCUUUGUUUUUACACAUUUUCCUAGUUUGACCAACAUCUGGCCCCUGUGGAUUUCAACCUUAGCAGAUUAUGUGGGAUCCUCUUUAUUUUGGUAGGUAUGAGAGGAUGGAGAAAUGUUUUAUGAUGUUACAAUUCAGCACAGGCAUCUUUGUCUUACAGGUUGGAUCCAGUAUAGGUGUAGUACCAGAUGCAGAUAAUCAUAGACUUCUGGAGCUUGUGGUUGGUAUGUGAGUAGAUGAAUUCAUGUGCAUGCAUAAGUAAAGAAAUUCUUCAACCCUGGCAUAUCUUUGUUUAUACAGAUAUUCAUGGUUUGGUCUGGCUGCUGUAUAAUUUCAACCUUUGCAGUUAAUGUGGCAUCCUCUUUCUUUGGUAGGAAUAACUUGAUAGACAAAUGAAUUAUGAUGCUAUUCUUAAGCCUGGCCAGUUAUUUAUUUUUACAGAUUUUUCUGGUUUGGCAAACAUCUAACUGUUGUGGAGUUUUCAAUCUUGGCAGAUUACAUGGAAUCCUUUCUUUUGGUAGGUAUAUAUGGAUGGACUAAUUAAUUAUGUAAUUCUUAAGUCCGGUCAUUUAAUUGUUUUUACAGGUUUUCUUGGUUUGGUGAUCACCUGGUUGCUGUGAUACUUCAGCCAUGGCAGGUCACAUUGGGAUCCUAUUUCUUUUGGAAGGUAAGAAUAAAUAGAUAAAUUAUGGUGUUGACAUAUUUUAGCAUGGGCAUCUUUGUUUUACAGGUCGGACUAAGUGUAGAAGGUCACAUGCAAAUAACCUAGGAUUGUUGAAGCAUGCCAUUAGAACGUGAGUAAAGGAUUAGCUGUGCAUAAAUAAUGACAAAUUCUUCAGCAGGCCAUCUUUGUUUUUACAGAUUUUCCUGGUUUGCAAAACAUCUGGCCCUUGUUGAUUUCAGUAUUAGCAGAUUGCCUCUUUAUUUUGGUAGGUAUGAGUUGACGGAAAAAUUAUGUUGCUAGUCUUCAGCACAGGUAUCUUUGUUUUACAGGUUGGAUCCAGUAUAAAAGGUCUAGUAGCAGAGGCUUGGACUGAUUGAGCUUGUGAGUAGAUUCAUUGAUGUGCAUGCAUAAGAGAGAUUCUUCAGCCUUGGCUUUUUUUUUUUUUAUACAGGUUUUCCUGGUUUGGCAAAGGUCUGGCCACUGGCGUUUUAGUCUUUGAAAAUUACAAAAUUACGUGUGCUCCUAUUUCUUUUGGGUAGGUAUGAGUAGAUGGAGAAAUUAAUUAUAGUGUAAUUUUUCAGCUGUAUCUUUUUUUUUUUUACAGAUUGGGCCCUGGUGCUGGAAAUUACAAAUAAUCUUGGACUGUUGGAGUUUGUGAUCAGUGUGUGAGUAAAGGAAUAGACGUACAUGGAUAAUGUCUUUGUUUUGCAGGUUGGACAGAGUGUAAAAGGUAAGACAGGGUCUCAAUGUGGGGGUGCAAGGCCCACUGGGGCUUCUGCCUCAGGGGGCCCCCACCACCCGUCUAACUCCCACCUCAAGCAAGCGUAAAGUAAAAUUUUCUGCAGCGGCAGCAGGUCAGAGGUCCUGUCCAACCCUGUGGAAUACCAGUGCAUAAAUGAGAAAUUCUUCAGCAAGUCAUAUUUAUUUUUACAGAUUUUGCUGGUUUUCAAACAUCUGGCCCCUGUGGAUUUCAGGUUUAGCAGAUUACAUUGGGAUCCUCUUUUUGGUUACCUGGCUUGCAGCCAUUUCCUUAUGCUGAUGCAUGCCCCACCAAUUAAGCACCGAAGGCAAGAACCCUUCUACCCUACACCGAACACAUCUCAAGGGGAUGAGAAACCUGGCAUCUCUUCUUUUUCACCCUCCAUUCUGUUGGAUUUAAUAUGUUUUAAAAUUGUAAAAUGUUGUUUUUCAUUAAAUGCAGACU